UGCAGUCGAGGGGCAGCAUUGGAGUAGCAAUACUUCAGAUGGCGACCGGCGCACGGGUGAGUGACACGUAUCCAACCUGCCGCUUACUCGGGGAUAGCCUUUCGAAAGAAAGAUUAAUACCCGAUGGUAUAAAGAGUUCGCAUGUUCUCUUUAUUAAAGAAUUUCGGUAAGCGAUGGGGAUGCGUUCCAUUAGAUAGUUGGCGGGGUAACGGCCCACCAAGUCUACGAUGGAUAGGGGUUCUGAGAGGAAGGUCCCCCACAUUGGAACUGAGACACGGUCCAAACUCCUACGGGAGGCAGCAGUGAGGAAUAUUGGUCAAUGGACGAGAGUCUGAACCAGCCAAGUAGCGUGAAGGAUGACUGCCCUAUGGGUUGUAAACUUCUUUUAUAAGGGAAUAAAGUGAGGGACGUGUCCCUUUUUGUAUGUACCUUAUGAAUAAGGAUCGGCUAACUCCGUGCCAGCAGCCGCGGUAAUACGGAGGAUCCAAGCGUUAUCCGGAUUUAUUGGGUUUAAAGGGAGCGUAGGUUGACAUAUAAGUCAGCUGUGAAAGUUUACGGCUCAACCGUGAAAUUGCAGUUGAUACUGUAUGUCUUGAGUGUACAAGAGGUGGGCGGAAUUCGUGGUGUAGCGGUGAAAUGCUUAGAUAUCACGAAGAACUCCAAUUGCGAAGGCAGCUCACUGGGGUACAACUGACACUGAGGCUCGAAAGUGUGGGUAUCAAACAGGAUUAGAUACCCUGGUAGUCCACACAGUAAACGAUGAAUACUCGCUGUUUGCGAUAUACAGUAAGCGGCCAAGCGAAAGCAUUAAGUAUUCCACCUGGGGAGUACGCCGGCAACGGUGAAACUCAAAGGAAUUGACGGGGGCCCGCACAAGCGGAGGAACAUGUGGUUUAAUUCGAUGAUACGCGAGGAACCUUACCCGGGCUUG
rnacentral:rRNA from 1 species